UUAAAUCAAAUUAUUGUACGUACACGAGACUAUUGUACAGCUACAACUAUAUUGUGUAAACUGAAUAGAGAUGGAAAUACAUAAUUAUUACUUAGGUAUAUUUGAUAUUUGAUUGAUGUAGAAUGGUGGUGUUACAAGAAACCAAGCUAAGAAAAAUAUUUUAAACAAUACCAUUCUCGAUGGAGCGAAACAUUAAUUAUCGCAGCAUACGUGGUUUUUCCUUUACACACUACAUGCGUUUCACAUGCCGGUCUUAUCCAAUCAAAAACGUUACUGCGACUUUUGGGGGAGGUGGACGAAUUCAAAGCGAGUUAUUUUCCGAGAAAUUAAUAUUCAUAUUUCGUAUAUUAUUAUUAUUAUUGGCGUCAUGGCAAUGACGUAAAUCAUACGCUAUAAAACAUAUAUUCGUAAUUUAUAAAACUGUCUAAUAUAAACGUUUAUACGUACAAUGUAGAACGCACGGCGAGGCUCGUUAAUCAUUUCGAUGGAAUCGCGGCAGUAUUAAUCGAGGAAUAGAGAUUUCAGAACAUUAUGCGUCGACAAUUGAUGCGAGAUGUAUAGCUUACUACACGAGGCAAACACAGAAAUUGUUGUGACGAUUAACCCGUCUUAAAUUCAGUGUUGAAUCCUCCAUCGGCAAAGGAGGUAAUCAGGUAGAAAAUGCUUCCCUUGAACUACAUUCACCAUCUCCUGAAAAAUACAACUGUCAAAAAUAUAAUAUAUUUAACGUAAAAUACUCAUUAGGUUUGUACCAUAUUUUAAUAAUAUUACCAAUGUGAAGUAAAUAUACAGAACUCAUAAAUUUUAUUGUUUUCAAUAAAAUAUAUAUGUAUAAUCUAUUUUUAUCAAUGUUUUAAAGAAGUAUUCCUACUAAUUACCAAAUUCGGAGUAAGGUACACUGGAGUAUUGCAUGAAAACAAGCGUCAAAAAGCGAAAAAGACUUAGUCCAGCAGUUUAUUGAAGUGUAAUCAAUUUGUUGUGUAGAAAAAAAGAAGUUAUAUUAUAUUUAUUUAAGAGUAAAGUAUGUUUUCUAAUAUGUAAAAUAAAAUAUUUAUAUAAUAUGACGUCAUGUAUCGAAUGGCAAAUUUACUGAAUCGAUUAAAAUAAUUAAUAAUAACAAUAAAAAUAUUGAUAAUACUAAAAUCUGUGACCGAUAUAAACAGAUGUGCUGCCCAGAAAAUUUGUCUGAAUUCAACACCGGUCUCGACGUAACUGCAGUACCGAUCGAAACACGUACCUAUCGUAUGCCAUGCCGUCUUACGCGUACACUACAUAAUGUUGAAGCGUCGUUUGAAAAUAAACUCAAUGGUCCACAUAUUGAGAGACACAUCGGACACCAAAAUAUUGACACGCUCUCACGAACGACGACGAAAUGAGUGAUCGAACGGGAUGACG